rnacentral:rRNA from 1 species
GACGAACCACACAAACGUUAUUCGGAAUUACUGGGCUUAAAGGGUGCGUAGGCGGCGCAGAAAGUAGGGUGUGAAAUCCCUCGGCUCAACCGAGGAACUGCGCCCUAAACUACUGUGCUCGAGGGAGGUAGAGGUGAGCGGAACUCAGGGUGGAGCGGUGAAAUGCGUUGAUAUCCUAAGGAACACCGGUGGCGAAAGCGGCUCACUGGACCUCUUCUGACGCUGAGGCACGAAAGCUAGGGUAGCGAACGGG